CAUUUCGAGGGGCGCUGCGACCGUGGGAUCGACCACCGGCCAGGCUCGAAUGGUCUCCAUGUACCAACGGCGCCCGGCAAAC
rnacentral:ncRNA from 1 species